GAUGAACGCUGGCGGCGUGCCUAAUACAUGCAAGUCGAACGAUCGACUUCGGUCGAUAGUGGCGAACGGGUGAGUAACGCGUUGGUGACCUGCCCCGAAGCGAGGGAUAACAGGCCGAAAGGCCUGCUAAUACCGCAUGAGCUAGCCAUGGUUUAGGAAGUGGUUAGGAAAGGGAGAAAUCCGCUUUGGGAGGGGCCUGCGUCCCAUCAGCUAGUUGGUAAGGUAAAGGCUUACCAAGGCGAUGACGGGUAGGGGACCUGAGAGGGUGACCCCCCACAAUGGAACUGAAACACGGUCCAUACACCUACGGGUGGCAGCAGUAGGGAAUAUUGGUGAAUGGGCGCAAGCCCGAACCAGCAACGCCGCGUGUGCGAUGAAGGCCUUCGGGUUGUAAAGCACUUUUCAUUGGGAAGAGGAAGGACGGUACCGAUGGAAUAAGCCUCGGCUAACUACGUGCCAGCAGCCGCCGUAAGAC
rnacentral:rRNA from 1 species